UACGAAGGGGGCUAGCGUUGCUCGGAAUCACUGGGCGUAAAGGGUGCGUAGGCGGGUCUUUAAGUCAGGGGUGAAAUCCUGGAGCUCAACUCCAGAACUGCCUUUGAUACUGAAGAUCUUGAGUUCGGGAGAGGUGAGUGGAACUGCGAGUGUAGAGGUGAAAUUCGUAGAUAUUCGCAAGAACACCAGUGGCGAAGGCGGCUCACUGGCCCGAUACUGACGCUGAGGCGCGAAAGCGUGGGAGCAAACAGG
rnacentral:rRNA from 1 species